rnacentral:lncRNA from 1 species
GUCAAUGGGCAGGGCUUGCGAUCUUCGCAUGUGUCUUAUCGUAAAGAAUUGUUAAAAUUUAGGAUAGGGAAAAAACUAUUUAAUGGAUGAAGCGAGAACAGCAGGAAGAAAAGGAGGGAAGGUAGUUUUCUAGUACAAGCAUAUUGAGAAGAAUGGAGGACAAAGUUUGCGAAGAGCCAGCAACUUUAUAAAGCAACUUGAGUCCUGAAGA